GUAUAUUCAGUAGUGUGCCAACUUUAUGCUUUUCACAUGUAUUUUAAGUCAUUUCUGAAUCAUUUCUGAAGCUCACAGACAUUCCACAAAUAUAUUGAACUCUAGUCUAAUUGAACAAAUGCAUGAAUAUUGUAGGCUAUAUUAUAAAACAGAUCUUACAAUUUAUUUUACAAAUAAAAGCCAAAAAUAAAGAGCUUUUUUCUCUCUCAAGUUGAUCUCAGUGACCAAUUUAAAAAUAGCCAAUCACUUUUUAAACUACAUUGUGAAUUUUACAACCAAUGUAUUCUGAAUUACAUCACAGUUUUUUAAACUAAAUGUUAGCCUACUCAGAGCAUCUUGCCAACACAGACAAUCCGUGAAACAUCUUCACCUGUUCAGCAUCAGUUUACAUCCACACAAGCCACUUUAUACCGAGUGCCACUGAGGAAGAGCCGCUUACUGUGAGAUCUGCUCUGGAGAAGCUUUUAAUAAACCAGGGUUAAAUUACAUGUUUAAUGUUGCCUAACCCAUGACUGGUUUAACUUGUGUGAAAAACCUUCUUGUGAUAGUGAUGACGACGAGAUAAAGAGGAAACCACAAGGACAUCAUCAUAUCUUCUGAUUGGCAGAUGCAGUUCAUAAUUCAUCAAACUCCUGGAUGACAGACGUAGACAUGGCGAUGUCUGGAAUGAUCACAUUUGUGUUCUUAGUAGUCUUCUUAAUAGAUUAUUUAAAUGGGCAAAAUAUUCCUACGCAUCCUGAACGUGUGGUGUUUAAAGCAACGGGUAAAGCUGUUAGAAUCAAAUGCUUUGUGGAUUCAUCGACGCUCAAGUCCAACGCUCUCCACUGGUACAGAGCUCAGUCAGGGGGAGCUUUCCAACGAUUAAUGUAUUUCGAAGCUGGACAGUCAAAAGCCACAAUCGACAAGGAUGUGUCCACUGGAUAUGGUGGAUCGGUGAAAACUGAGAUAGUCAAUAACACACAGCAAGUGUCACUGACUAUUUCAAGACUGGUGCUCCAAGAUGCAGGAACAUAUUACUGCGCGCUCUGGACUGACAGCAACACAGUGCUAACUGUGAGAGGAAAUCAUUACAAAAACCUGCUUUCAGAAUCAAAGCGGUUUAUGUGGAACAACAUUAGCAGCAAGGGGAAUAUUUUAACUAUGGCGUUACUUUUUGUUGUAAAUAUUUCAUAAAAAAAAAAAAAAAAACUUUAAAUGUUCUUGUGCAUCAACAGGCUACAAUAAAACUG